UGUUUGAUCAACUGGACAAGUGGGAAUACUGAAACAUUAGUGUUAGUGGAGAUGAUAUGCCCUUAGAAACUGAAUGGGUUUGCUAAGGCGUAACUGUACUAAUACUGUAUGCUCUGGCGUCUAUGGAAACCGAGAGUUUCCAAGACGUGACUGUCUGUCAUCGAGUGUACUGUCCUGACGUCUGUGGGAAUCGGAGAGUUGCCAAGACGUAACUGUUGUCGCGUUGGUGGGAACUAGACUAGUUCGCCAUCGUGUGUCUGUAUUGUUGUCUGCGGAAACCCAAUCUG
rnacentral:lncRNA from 1 species